rnacentral:tRNA from 1 species
GAGGGUAUAGCUCAAAUGGGAGAGUGCGUGCUUGGCACGCACGAGGUCCUGGGUUCAAUCCCUGGGACCACCA